rnacentral:lncRNA from 1 species
UAUCAUGUAGACCUGGCAGCACUCGGAUUCAUAUCCGGCGGUGAUCAUAGCUUCCCCAAUUUUCCUCAAAUUGGUCACCACUUCCUCCUCGUAACCAGGGUAAGGAGAUUCGUAUUGAUCCUCUUGAUCAUUUUUAGAUUCUGAUUCUGGCAGUGGGCUAUGAUAUUCCUCACCUCCUUCCGGAUUUCCGCCUUGAGCAGGCGAAUCAGGUUCGACCGGCUUCGACUGUUCUUCAAGGAGGUACCUGAACUCAUCCUCCAAGUAUACCAUCGCUUUGUGAUGGAUAAAUCCGAUUCGGUUGGCAAGUGGGGCGUGAACUGGAUCUGAUUUGAAGUAGCCGCUGAAGGAAGUUGUCAACCUGGUGAGGCGACUAACCAUCACCAGAAAUGCUGAGUCGUGAUCAGGGGAUUUACACCAUUUACCUCCUUUCCUAUCAUCUUGAUCAUCCGAGUCGCGUUCGGUUAUCUUCGCCUCGACGAGAUCCACGAACUUGUUGAUGAAUUCUGGCAUCUCAAUUGAAUAGAUCUUCUUCUCGCUCUCUGACUUCUUAUCCACAUCCUCCUCUUUCUUCUCAUUUUCAUUCUCCUUCUCAUGCUCAUUCUCAUUUUCCUUUUCAGGUUCGGAAUCUUCAGACUUCUUUUCUCCAUCUUUGAUUUCGUCACCUACAGCUUUCUCGCCCUGAUCAGUAAGAUCUUCAUUCUUAUUUUUAUCUCCAUCUCCUUUAUCAACAAUGACUUCUUGGUUUUGUUGGGCGGAUAUUUCUUGAUAGAAUUCUAUCAUUUUUUCGGGUAGAGAAGACAAAAAUUGAUCGAUGUUAGGGGAAAGCGUUUCCAGCGUUAUGUGGAUUUCUUCAGGAUGAGGAGGAGAGGAAAUGUCUUCGUUUUGUUCCGCCGGUUUGGAGUCAGGAUCUGUUUCGGAGU